UACAGAGACUGCAAGCGUUAUUCGGAUUCACUGGGCGUAAAGGGCGCGUAGGCGGCUCAUACAGUCAGAUGUGAAAUUCCUGGGCUUAACCUGGGGGCUGCAUUUGAUACGUGUGGGCUUGAGUGGGGAAGAGGGUCGUGGAAUUCCCAGUGUAGAGGUGAAAUUCGUAGAUAUUGGGAAGAACACCGGUGGCGAAGGCGGCGACCUGGUCCUUGACUGACGCUGAAGCGCGAAAGCGUGGGGAGCAAACAGG
rnacentral:rRNA from 1 species